rnacentral:rRNA from 1 species
AACGAACGCUGGCGGCAUGCCUAACACAUGCAAGUCGAACGAUGGCUUCGGCCAUAGUGGCGCACGGGUGAGUAACACAUGGGAACCUGCCUUUCGGUUCGGAAUAACGUUUGGAAACGAACGCUAACACCGGAUACGCCCUUCGGGGGAAAGUUUACGCCGAGAGAGGGGCCCGCGUCCGAUUAGGUAGUUGGUGGGGUAACGGCCUACCAAGCCGACGAUCGGUAGCUGGUCUGAGAGGAUGACCAGCCACACUAGGACUGAGACACGGCCCAGACUCCUACGGGAGGCAGCAGUGGGGAAUAUUGGACAAUGGGCGCAAGCCUGAUCCAGCAAUGCCGCGUGAGUGAUGAAGGCCUUAGGGUUGUAAAGCUCUUUCGCACGCGACGAUGAUGACGGUAGCGUGAGAAGAAGCCCCGGCUAACUUCGUGCCAGCCGCCGCCGUAAGAC